rnacentral:rRNA from 1 species
CGAUGGUACUGCGUCUUAAGACGUGGGAGAGUAGGUCGCCGCCAGGU